rnacentral:rRNA from 1 species
UACGAAGGGGGCUAGCGUUGCUCGGAAUUACUGGGCGUAAAGCGCACGUAGGCGACUUUCUAAGUCGGGGGUGAAAUCCUGGAGCUCAACUCCAGAACUGCCUUCGAUACUGGAGAGCUCGAGUCCGGGAGAGGUGGAGUGGAACUGCGAGUGUAGAGGUGAAAUUCGUAGAUAUUCGCAAGAACACCAGUGGCGAAGGCGGCUCACUGGCCCGGUACUGACGCUGAGGUGCGAAAGCGUGG